rnacentral:rRNA from 1 species
GACGAACGCUGGCGGCGUGCUUAACACAUGCAAGUCGAACGAUGAUCAGGAGCUUGCUCCUGUGACUAGUGGCGAACGGGUGAGUAACACGUGAGUAACCUGCCCCUGACUCUGGGAUAAGCGUUGGAAACGACGUCUAAUACUGGAUAUGAUCACUGGCCGCAUGGUCUGGUGGUGGAAAGAUUUUUUGGUUGGGGAUGGACUCGCGGCCUAUCAGCUUGUUGGUGAGGUAAUGGCUCACCAAGGCGACGACGGGUAGCCGGCCUGAGAGGGUGGCCGGCCACACUGGGACUGAGACACUGCCCAGACUCCUACGGGAGGCAGCAGUGGGGAAUAUUGCACAAUGGGCGAAAGCCUGAUGCAGCAACGCCGCGUGAGGGAUGACGGCCUUCGGGUUGUAAACCUCUUUUAGUAGGGAAGAAGCGAAAGUGACGGUACCUGCAGAAAAAGCACCGGCUAACUACGUGCCAGCAGCCGCGGUAA